CAACGUGAGCAACCUGCCUUUCANAGGGGGAGUAACAGUUGGAAACGACUGCUAAUACCGCAUAACGCUGCGAUGGGGCAUCCCGAUGCAGCCAAAGGAGCAAUCCGCUGGAAGAUGGGCUCGCGGCCGAUUAGCUAGUUGGUGGGGCAACGGCCCACCAAGGCGACGAUCGGUAGCCGGACUGAGAGGUUGAUCGGCCACAUUGGGACUGAGACACGGCCCAGACUCCUACGGAAGGCAGCAG
rnacentral:rRNA from 1 species